AACAAUUAUAGCGCCUGAGCUAAGGAAAUAGAGCGGACAUCAUCCUUAGUUGACGAGGUGGAGGUUUAUCGAAAAUUCGGCGGAUACCUCCCGAUUGACAAUGCCCAGUCGUCAUAUUCGUUUUAAAGCAGGAAAGCGAUUUUCUGUACAGAGGAA
rnacentral:ncRNA from 1 species